GAUGAACGCUGGCGGCGUGCUUAACACAUGCAAGUCGAACGGUGAAGCAGGAGCUUGCUCUUGUGGAUCAGUGGCGAACGGGUGAGUAACACGUGAGCAACCUGCCCCUGACUCUGGGAUAAGCGCUGGAAACGGCGUCUAAUACUGGAUAUGUGAUGUGACCGCAUGGUCUGCAUCUGGAAAGAAUUUCGGUUGGGGAUGGGCUCGCGGCCUAUCAGCUUGUUGGUGAGGUAAUGGCUCACCAAGGCGUCGACGGGUAGCCGGCCUGAGAGGGGGACCGGCCACACUGGGACUGGGACACGGCCCAGACUCCUACGGGAGGCAGCAGUGGGGAAUAUUGCACAAUGGGCGGAAGCCUGAUGCAGCAACGCCGCGUGAGGGAUGACGGCCUUCGGGUUGUAAACCUCUUUUAGCAGGGAAGAAGCGAAAGUGACGGUACCUGCAGAAAAAGCACCGGCUAACUACGUGCCAGCAGCCGCCGCCG
rnacentral:rRNA from 1 species